GCGCCCGUAGCUCAACUGGAUAGAGCGUUGCCCUCCGAAGGCAAAGGUUGGGGGUUCGACUCCCUUCGGGCGCACCA
rnacentral:tRNA from 1 species